UUCGGUCGUGGGUUCGUUAUGCCGUGGUUAUGCCACUUGUGCGUCAUUCAAAGCCGUUCUGUACAUUUAUACUGGAUAUUAAUUGGAGUCAUUUAGCUGUACUGAUUCUGCUUGAUGUGUGUUUUGCAUCAGUGUUUCGUGACCUCGGCUGUAUUGCGUGUUUUCGCCGACGGCUUACUACCACAAUGGCGUGAUCUGCGUUCGCCGCCUUCGUGUCUCGGUGCGUCUUUGUACACGUCGCAUGUUCGGACAACACUUUUUCCGACGGCUGGACAUCCUUCUUGUACCUUGGCGCUAGCUGGAUGACGGCACCUCAUCAUGAUCAGUGUAUUGCUUGCCUAUGUCUACAAGAACCGUCACGCGUGGCCUGUGACAGCAAGCUUUUGUGGGCAGAAAGUGCUCUCCUACGAAGGCUGGCCUACUCUGGCAGCGGCGGCAAUCAUCUUCAAGAUUUAUCCAUGAUCACCUUUGCUGCUAUUUGUCACUCUUGUUGAUUACACUUUCUGCAUCUUUUCUAAUUUAUUAGGUAAUAAAGUAUGAGUAUGUGACAUGGUG